UAAAGAGUUCUAUAACUCCCAAACCCAUGUGAACAUACCUAACGUUGCCUCGGCAGGUCGCACCUACCUUGUAGCACCCUACCCUGUAGGGCCUACCCGGGAGGUGCGGGUAAGCCUGCCGGCGGCCCACCAAACUCUGUUUGAUAUUGAAUUCUGAACCUAUAACUAAAUAAGUUAAAACUUUCAACAACGGAUCUCUUGGUUCUGGCAUCGAUGAAGAACGCAGCGAAAUGCGAUAAGUAAUGUGAAUUGCAGAAUUCAGUGAAUCAUCGAAUCUUUGAACGCAUAUUGCGCCCAUUAGUAUUCUAGUGGGCAGGACCGUUCGAGCGUCAUUUCAACCCUUAAGCCUUCGUUGCUUAGUGUUGGGAGCCUACGGCAACGUAGCUCCUCAAAGUUAGUGGCGGAGUUGGUUCACACUCUAGACGUAGUAAUUUUUUAUCUCGCCUAUUAGUUGGACUAAUCCCCUGCCGUAAAACCCCCAAUUUAUAUCAAGGUUGACCUCGAAUCGGUUCAGACAAACUCGCUAAAUUGAAGCAUCUUAGUCAGCGAAGGAAAAGAAACCAACAGGGAUUGCCCUAGUAACGGCGAGUGAAGCGGCAACAGCUCAAAUUUG
rnacentral:rRNA from 1 species